rnacentral:rRNA from 1 species
UACAGAGGGUGCAAGCGUUAAUCGGAAUUACUGGGCGUAAAGCGUGCGUAGACGGUUAUGUAAGUCAGGUGUGAAAGCCCCGGGCUCAACCUGGGAAUUGCAUUUGAGACUGCAUAGCUAGGGUGCGGAAGAGGGAAGCGGAAUUUCCGGUGUAGCGGUGAAAGUGCGUAGAUAUCGUAAGGAAGACCAGUGGCGAAGGCGGGUCUCUGGACCAGUUCCUGACGCUGAGGCACGA